UUAUGCCUACGGGACGCAGCAGUGGGGAAUAUUGCACAAUGGGGGAAACCCUGAUGCAGCGACGCCGCGUGAGUGAAGAAGUAUCUCGGUACGUAAAGCUCUAUCAGCAGGGAAGAAAAAAAGUCUUUGGCUUUGGACGGUACCUGACUAAGAAGCCCCGGCUAACUACGUGCCAGCAGCCGCGGUAAUACGAAGGGGGCAAGCGUUAUCCGGAUUUACUGGGGGUAAAGGGAGCGUAGACGGCAGCGCAAGUCUGGAGUGAAAUGCGGGGGCGCAACCCGGGAACUGCUUUGGAAACUGUGCAG
rnacentral:rRNA from 1 species